rnacentral:rRNA from 1 species
UACGGAGGGGGCUAGCGUUGUUCGGAAUUACUGGGCGUAAAGCGCACGUAGGCGGCUUUGUAAGUUAGAGGUGAAAGCCCGGGGCUCAACCCCGAAAUUGCCUUUAAGACUGCAUCGCUUGAAUCAUGGAGAGGUGAGUGGAAUUCCGAGUGUAGAGGUGAAAUUCGUAGAUAUUCGGAAGAACACCAGUGGCGAAGGCGACUCACUGGACAUGGUAUUGACGCUGAGGUA